rnacentral:rRNA from 1 species
UACGUAGGGGGGCAAGCGUUGUCCGGAAUCAUUGGGCGUAAAGAGCGCGUAGGCGGCCCUGUAAGUCCGCUGUGAAAGUCAAGGGCUCAACCCUUGGAUGCCGGUGGAUACUGCAGGGCUAGAGUCCGGAAGAGGCGAGUGGAAUUCCUGGUGUAGCGGUGAAAUGCGCAGAUAUCAGGAGGAACACCGAUGGCGAAGGCAGCUCGCUGGGACGGUACUGACGCUGAGGUGCGAAAGCGUGGGGAGCGAACAGG